rnacentral:rRNA from 1 species
GACGAACGCUGGCGGCGCGCCUAACACAUGCAAGUCGAACGGAACUGUUUUGAAAGAUUUCUUCGGAAUGAAUUUGAUUUAGUUUAGUGGCGGACGGGUGAGUAACGCGUGAGUAACCUGCCUUCAAGAGGGGAAUAACAUUCUGAAAAGAAUGCUAAUACCGCAUGACAUAUCGGAACCACAUGGUUUUGAUAUCAAAGAUUUUAUCGCUUGAAGAUGGACUCGCGUCCGAUUAGUUAGUUGGUGAGGUAACGGCUCACCAAGACCGCGAUCGGUAGCCGGACUGAGAGGUUGAACGGCCACAUUGGGACUGAGACACGGCCCAGACUCCUACGGGAGGCAGCAGUGGGGGAUAUUGCGCAAGGGGGGCAACCCUGACGCAGCAACGCCGCGUGAAGGAUGAAGGUUUUCGGAUUGUAAACUUCUUUUAUUAAGGACGAAAAAUGACGGUACUUAAUGAAUAAGCUCCGGCUAACUACGUG